rnacentral:lncRNA from 1 species
GGGAUUAGAUUAACAUACAUACAGAUGCUCAUGCCAAUAGAAAAAUAUUAAUGAAAGCAGAGAAACUGAUCAUAGGCAAAUUUGUUUUGUAUUGAAUAAUGGUAUAAAAGGAAGAGGAUCCUUUCUCCAACUACCCGUUUCUCUAUUACAAAAAUGUAUUUACAUGAUUGACAACUCAUCGUUUCAAAAACGAUGGUCGAGUUUGAAUUUUCCAGUCCCCAUGAGACCCCGUAUAGCUGCACUAUUUGCUUCUCAUCAAAUUUACUGCUAGACCAUCAAAUGUAUUUGAAUGAAGGUUUCUUCGUCGCAUGGAAUUGUGAGACCACCCAUUGGAUGACUGAAUCCAAACUCUUCCUCGGCUUGAUUUAACAAAUCUUGGAAUAAAGGAUGAUUCAAGUAUGAUAUUGGAACCACAAAACGCUUCUUUUGGUUGUCUCCAACAUAAACUGCAAUGUGGCCUUUAGGUACAAUUGGAGCUUCUGUAUUUGAAAGAGACCGCCGCAGAGUUCUCUUAAUCUGAGGAACACCCGGUAAACGAAUAGCCAUGGAUGUUUGUAAGAUUAACAGGGAAGAAAAAAUAUGAUGAAGGGUUGUUGAUUAAACCUAAGAGAUUAUGUGGAAACUUUAACUUGGAUAUGGUACUCUGAGUUAGGUAUGGAGACAUACCUAUUGAAGGAACACAUGGUUAUGUCUCUUAUCUUAAACUUUGAAAACUAUAUGUAUGGUAUAUAAACUUUGAUCAUUUCUUUUGUUGCAACAACUCUCAGCGCGCAACAUGUCCCAGCCCUACCAAGAAGAAGACAGUACACAAGUGUAGGCACUCACGCAAUUUAUAUUCUGUACCAUCAUGAAAAGCAAAAGCAGGAAGAGAACAUAUAACAUGAAGUUCUCCCAAAUAAUCUCUUCAAUCACCACAGAAUUCAGGUGGGACUAUUCUAAACCGUUUCGACAAAUAUAGGCCACAGGGUUUGUCAAGAAGUGGUACAAAUUGGCCACUUGAAAAUUUUCUAUCGUCAAUUACAAAACAGAACCAUGUGAACAUUCAUGAGGAAUGGAUAUACAUACUCUAAUCUUCAAAUUGCAACAUAAAAUAUAUAGAUUGGCCCUUAAGAGCCUUUAGAAGGCAAUAAUAGUAUAGUUCCUUGUCUUUUUGACAUUGAACAACAAAAGCUGAUGAUGAACAACAAAAAUUCUUUUGAAAUUUGAUAAAUUGCAGCCAAUAAAAGAUAUUCUAAGAUGGAACCAUGUGAUUAAAUAAUGGAAAACAAGUAAUCAGUUCAUAUAUUGCUAAUAAAAUUGACUUGUAUUUUCAUACAAUGUAGCUCAGUUUCUUCCUAUAAUCCUAAAUCUUUACUAUAACUCCAUCUGUCCAUCAUCAAUUUUUGGCGUAAAUUGAUAUACAAAUAAAAACCCUCAUAAUAUAAUUAGCAACUUAAACUUGUGUCUAAGCAAUAUCCAAGAUCAAGGAAUCAAUGUGAGGGAGUGCAACAAAAUUCCUAGCUUUCUUAUGUGUUUCAACUCUUCUGAUUGUACCCAACUGUAGAUUGUAUAUGAUUAUUAAACCACUGCCAGGCACUUCUAGCAAUAACUGAUCCUUCUUCUGCAUGUAAAUAUUCUUGACAACCACACGAGAUCCAUAACUAUCUUGUAUGCCACAGAAAGUCCUCAUGGCACCAAGUCGACAACAUGCCUCUUCACCCAGUCAUUAUUCUCAUAGUCCACUAAGAUCCAAAUAUCUAAUGAUUUUGUGUUGGAUCUAGAGUCACACAACCAUAAAUGUCCUUUCAUAUCCAUAAGCUCCAUUUGAUCAUGUCUCUUGUUCGUGCCACAAUCGUCUCCAGGGUGUAAUAUGGUACAAAAGCUUCAAUAAUGAUAUUUAAUACCACAAUGGAAACUGAACACGCUGGCUUAACAUUGUUUGCUAUAUGGCCGGUAAGUUUUAUCAUCAAUCAUCCAAUGUAGAUUUCCAUUUAUGAAAACAGGAGAUUUUUCCAAAGUUGGAGAAGAAGUGAAGGUGCCAAUCUGUCUUGUGCUUUGGGACAAUAAUCCAUAUACACAAAAUUUAAAUGAUUGAUUUACAUAAAGAUCGAAUUCUAUACUCCUUGGUAGGUGGGUGGAGAAAAAAUACACAAGGACGGUAGGCCAAAGCCGCUGAUGAUUUUAGGAUUACUUUUUGCUCUAUGAUGGGAUUCCAUAUAUUUAUGUGGCUAAUGCCAGUGCCGGUGCCAGUGCUUAGGGGGCAGUAGAACAGAAGGAACCCAUUGCAGGAACAAUAAAGAACAGGUUGGCGCCUACAGGAACAACGUUGUUUGGUUCUGAUGUGCUUACCCUUUUCAUCAAAAAAUUAACAUAAUAUUUUGAUGAGCCAUAUUGAUCAUAAUUAUAGCUGAGAGCAAUGACAGGAGUAGCUCGAUUCAAGUGCAUGUCAGCAAAAGAUGGAGUAGUUUCUAUCAAGAUACGAAGAGGUCGACAUGCAUCUCUACAUUGUAGUACGCAUUGGGCAGGAAGUCUACUUAAGAUGUUGAUGAUUAUGUUGUUAGGCAGACGAGGCAAACCCUAGUUCUUCUUCUUCCCAGAAAAUAGUUUAUGUACCUUGUCCUCCAAAGAUUGAAUCCAUGAUAGCCGAGAGUAUACAUUCACAGUAUUACUAUCUGUUGUAAACAAAAACAAAAAAAGUAAUAUAUCAAGAGUACUACAAAACCACUCAAACAACCUCUGAAAAAAAUUCAGUGCUGUAAUAUUUGAAAAUAAAUAAAUAAAUAAAUAAUUACACUAGUAAAGGCUAUAAAUUACUAUAAAAACGACGCAAAAAGUUCAAACUAAAUACAAGAAAAAAAAAAUGUACCUUCAUCCUGUAACUUAAUAUAUUUCACGUCUUCCAUGUCAACCUUGGCAAUAAAAUCAGAUUCAGAUUGAUUGUUUGGUAGAGUUUAAAAGAAAACUUGUUGUUUAAAUACAGAAAACAAAAGUUAGGGGGGCAGUAGACUUGGUUUAGGGUUAAAACUCCCCCCACCCCAAGAAUUUAGGGUUAAAACUUUGAAACCAAGUUGAAUUCAUAUUAUUGUAAUGUGCACAAGCAGAUUUUUCAGGGCCUGUAAGACUCUCUAUAGUCCAGUGGGACUAUGUUUCCAUAACAUUUUCCUCAUGUUCAGGAACAGCUAGAUAAAUUCCAUAUAAAAAUCCUAAUUCCUAAAUACGGCAAGCAUAAUUGCAGUCCUAUACUUAACAAAGAUCUUGACAGAUCUAACCAGGGAGAGAUGUGGAGAGAGUUAGAUUAUAAAAGACUGGUAAUGAAAAAGUCAGUAGACAGUAGUUACAGAUGCUCGCUCAUGCCCAUAACAAAAAUUAUUAAUGAAAAGCAGAGAAACUGAUCAUAGGCAAAUUUGGAUUGUAUGGAAUAAUGGUAUAUAAAGGGAAGAGAAUUCAUUUUCCAACUCCCCAUUCUCUAUUACAAAAAUGUAUUUACAAGGUUGACAACUCAUCGUCAAAAAGGAUGGUCGAGUUUGAAUUUUCCAGUCCCUGUGAGACCGUAUAGCUGCACGUACUAUUUGCUCCUCAGCUCAUCAAAAUUACUAGACCAUCAAACGACCAGUUAGAUCAAUGAAGGUUUCUUCGUCGCAUGGAAUUGUGAGACCACCCAUUGGAUGACUGAAUCCAAACUCUUCCUCGGCUUGAUUCAACAAAUCUUGGAAUAAAGGAUGAUUCAAGUAUGAUAUUGGAACCACAAAACGCUUCUUUUGGUUCUCUCCAACAUAAACUGCAAUGUGGCCUUUAGGUACAAUUGAAGUUUCUGUAUUUGAAAGAGACCGUCUCAGAGUUCUCUUAAUAUGAGGAACACCGGGUAGACGAAUAGCCAUGGAUGUUUGUAAGAUUAACAAGGAAGAAAUUUUUUGAUCGAUGAAGGGUUGUCUGUUAGACCUAAGUGAUGAUAUGAACACUUGGACUUGGAUAUCAGGAUAUGGUACUCUGAGCUAAUACAAUGUAUAUUUAAAGAGGGAAGGGCACUUGACUACUUGAGAUCCUUCACAUCAUGACUCAUGAGGAUAAGCAAGAGAGUUAGGUAUGCUAAGAGACAUACCUAGUGAAGGAACACAUGGUUAUGUCUGUUAUCUUAAACUUUGAAAACUGCAUGUAUGGUAAACUUGAUCCAUUUGUUGCAACUACUCUCAGCGCCCAACAUGUCCAGUCCUACCAAGAAGAAGACAUACACAAGUGUAGGCACUCACGCAAUUUAUAUCUGGACCAUCAAGAAAAGCAGAACAAAGCAUAUGCCGAUGCAUGUUUGCAUAAUGCCACAUAUAUAUAGUUUGGCCCUCAAGAGCCUUGACAAGGCAAUAGUAUAAAUACUUGUCCUUUUGACAUUGAACAACAAAAGCUGAUGAUGAACAACAAAAAAUCUCUUGAUAUUUUAUAAAUAGCAGACAAUAAAUAACAUAAUUGCACAUUAAAUUAAAAGUGACUCUAAGAUGGAACCAUGGGCAUGCGAUUAAAUAUGCAUACAUAUCGAGUAUCAUUAAUGGAAAAUAAGUAAUCAGUUCAUUCAUAUAUAUUGCUAAUAAAAUUGACUAACAUUUUCAUACGUACAAUGUAAUUCAGGUUCUUCCUAUCUUUACUAUAACUCCAUCAUCACUUUUUGAAGUAAAUUAAAAUUAAACAAAUACCUAUCAUCGUCAAUAGCCACUUAAAUUUGUGUCUAAGCAAUCUAAGAUCAAGGAAUCGAUGUGAGGAACUGCAACAAAAUUCUCAGCCUUGUUAUGUCUUGCAACGACUCUUCUGAUUGUACCUAACUGUAGAUUGUAUAUGAUUAUUAUUAUUAAAUCACUGUCAGACACUUUUAGCAACAACUGAUCCUUCUUGUGCAUGUAAAUAUUCUCAACAUGCACACGAGAUCCAUAACUAUCUUGCAUUAGUAUACCACAAAAAGUAAUCACUGGCACCAUGUCGACGACAUGCCUCUUCACCCAGUACUCAUUCUCAUAGUCCUUUAAGAUCCAAAUAUCUAAUUUUGUGUUGGAUCUAGAGUCGCAGAACGAUAAAUGCCCUUCCACAUCCAUAAGCUCCAUAUUUUUAUGUUUCUUUCUCAAGCCACACUGCUUUCCAGGGUGUGGUAUGGUACGAAAAGCUUCAGUAAUGAUAUUGAAUACCACAAUCGAAGCUGAACACUCUGGCUUAAGCAUACAGGAGAUUUUUGUGUAAGCUUCAUCAACCAUCCAAUGUAGAUUUCCAUUUAAGCAUACAGGAGAUUUUUGUGUAGUUGGAGGAGGAGUGAAGUUGCCAAUCUGUCUUAUGCUUUCGGAAGCCAACCCAUAUACACAAAAUUGAAAUUGUGGAUUUACAUAAAGAACUCUAUACUCCAUGGUAGGUGUGUGGACAAAAAAUCCACAAGGACGGUAGAACGACAAAGCCCCUGGAUCUACUGUUACUAUUUGUUUUGUAAUGGGAUUCCAUAUAUAUAUAUAACCACGUCUAAUGGUACCACGAUAAGUGCUUGGGGGACAGUAGAACAGAAGGAACCCAUUGCAGGAACAGAAAAGAACAGGAUCGCCACAAUAACGCUUUUGAAAUUGUUUAGUUAUGAAGUCCUUACUCUCUUCAUCAGUAAAAUUAACACAAAAUUCUGAGCUAGUAUAAUCACCCUUAUAGCUGAAAGCAAUGACUGGAUCAUGAGUAGCUCGAUUGGAGUGCAUGUCAACGAAAUAUGGAGUUUCUAUCAACAUACGAAGAGGUCGACAUGCUCUACAUCGUACUACACAUUGGGCAGGAAGUCUACUUAAGAUGUCUAUGAUUAUAUCGUCAGGAAGUCUAGGCAAACACUUGUUGCCAAAAAACAGUUUAUGUACCUUAUCCCCCAAAAAUCGAACCCAUGAUAGCCGAGAAAACAAUACCUUAUCCUGUAACUUAAUGUACUUUGUGUCUUCCAUAAUCAACCUAGCUAGCUUCACCUUAACAAUAACAUCAGAAUUCAGAAUCAGUUUGUUUGUUUGUUUGUUUGUUUGUUUGUUUCUUAUUCUUACAAGAUAGUUGAAACUUGGAAGCUUCUCAAGUUGGUUUCGUUUCGGGAAAGGAGUUCAAAGUUGAAACAAAGUCUACUUGGUAACGUUUUAAUGGGCCUUAAAGGCCCAUUGUUUAAAACACCUGAAUAGAGGCCCGGCCCAUCUGCUCAUAAAAUAAUUGAAGUGACUCAUCUACCCUUAUUUUUUUGCUAUAUCAUAUCCUGCUGUUUCCACAGUGCACUGGCAGACUGGCUUAAGUGCUUAACUGCACUAAGUUUUAAUUACAAACUCUUAAUAAACAUUGUUCAAUUCACUUGCAAAAAAGAAAAAAGAAAAAAAUAAAUAUGAACCAACUUUACUUUAUACAUACCAUAUAAAGUUACUCGAAAACAAUUAAUUCGUUCACGUCACGGCUAAUAAAAAUUUACUUUCAUUUCUCACACAAAGGAACUAAAGUUCUUCCUACUAACUCAAUUGACAGAUACUAUAAGUUUUUGUUGGCAUAGAAUAGCUAGAAAAAUAGAAAAACAAAAACCCUAAUUAAUCACUUACUUUGUUUCCUUAUUAGCUAAGCAAUAUCCAAGAUCAAGGUAUCAAUGUGAGGGACUGCAAUAACAUUCUCAGCCUUCUUACGACUUGCAACUCUUCUGACUGUACCCAACUUUAGAUUGUAAAACACUAGAUUAUUCUUAGCCACCCUUACUAACAACUCAUUCUUGUAGAUGUAAAAAUUUCCAACAUCAACAUGAGAUCCAUAACUAUCUUUUAUGCCACAACAAGUCAUCAAUGGCACAAUGUUAAUAGUAUGCUUCUUCACCCACAUCACAUUUUCAUAGUCCUCUAAGAUCCAAAUAUCUAUUAUUCUGUAUGACAUUGUAUCGCAUAGUGAUAAACGCCCUCCCAUAUCCAUAAGCUCCAUUUUGUCAUGUUUCUUCUUCAAGUCACAACGGUUUCCAGUGUCAGGGUGUGGUAUGGUACGGAGAACUUCAGUUUUGAUAUUAAAUGAAAUAAUAGAAUCAGUACAGUUUGGAUAAAUACCGUGCAGUCUCUUGUAAUCUGAGACAUCAACCAUCCAAUGUAGAAUUCCAUCUAAGAAUAUAGGGGCUUUUCCCUUAGUUGGAGAAUGAGUGAAGUUCUUAAUAGGUCUUACAGUUUCCGACAUCAACCCAUAAACACUGUAUUGAAAAUUAUUUGCUGCGCCAUGUACCAAAAGAACGCUAUACUCCAUGGUAGGCGGGUGGACAAAAAACCCACAAGCACUGUAAUGUGAACCCAGUGAAUGUACUUCUACCUUUUGCUGUGUUAUGGGAUUCCAUAUCUGUAUAUCAUGUAGUAGAUGUUUGUAGCGAAACAGGAGGAAGCCAUUGCAGGAACAAUAAAGUACAUACUUAGAAGACAAUGUACUUCGUUUAGUUUUAAUUUGCUUAGCCACUUCAUCAGUGAAACGAACAUCUCCUUUGUUACUCAUCUUUUUCUCUGCACCUUCAUAACAGAAAGCAAUGACUGGAGUAGCUCGCUUAAAGUGCACAUCAACAAAUGACGGAUUCGCGAUCAUAUUACCAAGUGGUCUGUAUAUAUCUCUACAUUGUAGUAGACAAUCAGCAGGAAGUCUACUAAAGAUGUUGAGGAGUACCUCAUCAGGUAGAUGAGGUAGACUCCUUUUACCUGUCAUCUUCCCAGAAAACAGUUUUUGUACCGUAUCGCGCAGAAAUGGAACCCAUAAUGAGCCAGAAAGUAGAUUCACAAUACCACCUGUGAUUAAAAAAUGAAACAAUAUAUCAAGAAAAUUAACAAAGCCUAUGAUACCAAUUAAGAAAGAAAAAAAAAACACAAUAAUCAAAUGAGUUAGGAUGUCAUGGUGGUUUGUAAAGAUUGCAUAGUUGUUGUAGUACUUUUUUUGUGUAAAGUAAGACGAUCAUCCUUUUUGUUUGCCAUCAACCUUCACCUGUGAAAUGAGCUUAGAAAGACUCUAAAACCUAGAAAAUGAUCAGACUCCUAUAAAAUUUGUUUUGUUAGAUAUAAAAGACUCCAAAACCUAGGAAAUGAUCAGACUCCUAAGUAGACUCAACUUUCUUUAUAGACUAGACUUGGGCGAAAAUAUGUAAACCCCAAGUACUAAAUUCCCAAAAUGAAGGCCCAGAAACUAAAACCAGGACAAAAGCCCUUUUCAUUUAAGUUCAUUUGUAGAAAUUGUGUGCAUUGGAAAAGUAUGGAAAGGGGAAAAAAAACACUCUUUAGAACAUAUAACAGAACAAAAUUGGUUUGUAAUAUUGUAUUGAUUCGUAAUGUAUAUAGGGAGACACCCCUGCUCUUUUACAAAAUAUAUACACGAUUGACAAUUCUGUAGCUCACAAAAAUGUAUGGUUGUUGUUCAUUAGCUGAACUACUAGACGAGCCGACUAGUUAGAUCAAUGAAGGUGUCUUCGUCGCAUGGGAUGGUGAGACCACCCAUUGGAUGACUGAAUCCAUACUCUUCCUCGGCUUGAUUUAAUAAGUCUUGGAAUAAAGAAUGGUUUAAGUAUGAUAUUGGUACUACAAAUCGUUUCUUUUGGCUCUCUCCAACAUAAACUGUGAUGUGGCCUUUUGGAACAAUUGAGGUUUCUGUAUUUGAGAGAGACCGUCGAAGACUUCUCUUAAUGUGAGGAAUACCAGGUAAACGAAUAGCCAUUAUGCUGCAAGAAAGAAUAACAAGGAAGAUAUAAAUUUGUAUGAAGAGAAUGUUAGACCUGAGAGAUGUUGUGAACACUUGGAGUUGAAUGGCAGUCUAGGGUAUAACAUGUCAUAUAUAUAGAAGAAAUGCCUGGUGUCUGAGAGAUGCCCUUCCAUGGUAAGGUACAGACAUGCCUUGUGAAGGGUCACAUGGCUUUGUCUAAUAUCUUAAGCUUUUCGUAGUGGUUAUAUUGAUCUAUGUUCUGUGGCAAUAACACAGCAUAUGAUAACACAGUUCCAUUGACAACAACUUCUAACCUGUAUAAAUGGACCACAAACAUCUCUGCUAUCAACUUUCUCAGCCAGUACAAGAAUUUAAGAGAAAGCAUAUUCAAAAGGGCCAGUAUGUUUUCUGUUCAAUUGAGCAUGGACCAAUCAGACUACCUACAUUCAGGUAGGCCUAUAAAAAAGAUGAAAAUGAUAGAGAAGUGUGUGGCAAAUGAUAAAGCAGGUUGACCACUUGCUUCAUUUUGAUGGUUAGUUGCAAGGCAAAGCAUUUAAUCUUUGAAGAAGCUUGUCGCUUAAACCAACCAUAUUGAAAAGAUAACAUAAUUAUCAACAACUAAAUCCACAUUUGAUAAGCUAUGAUAUUCACAUUUGAUAAGACUGCAGCCUCAACACCUGGCUAAUUGUAAAGGAUGGCCUAAAGGUAGGGCAAUCCUGUUUCUGCCACAGAACAAUGAAUCAGUGUGAACACCCAGAUUAGAUAUCAGGCAAAACCAUGUGAUGCGUCACAAGGCAUGUUUCUGUGUUUAAUCUCAUGUGAUGAAGGAAUUGUGUAAGCUCCUCUAUAAAUACGCAACUCUAUAAACUCAAGUAUUAUCCAACUCCAAGUUAACAAGUUUUCUCUCUACUCCAACCUAUCUGUUUAGUCUUGUAAUCUUUUUAGCAUCCAUGGCUAUUCGAUUACCUGGUAUUCCUCACAUCAAGAGAAGUCUUAGACGAUCUUUAUCAAACUCAGAGACAUUAACAGUCCCAAAAGGCCACAUUGCAGUAUAUGUUGGAGAGAAUGAAAAGAGGCGAUUUGUGGUUCCAAUAUCAUACUUGAGUCAUCCUUUAUUCCAAGAGUUGUUAAAUCAAGCCGAGGAGGAAUUUGGAUUUAAUCAUCCAAUGGGAGGACUAACGAUCCCAUGCGAUGAAGACACUUUCAUUGAACUAACUAGUCAGUUAAUUGUCUUGUAAGUCAGAUGAUGAGCAGAUACUGUAGCAAUAUGGUUCCGAGGAGGCUGGUCCCUUCAAACUGAACCAUCCAAUUUUGUCAGUCAUGUAUAUACUUUUGUAUUAGAGAUACGAGAGGCUGAAAAUACCUCCCUUUUACAACAUCAAUGAGUAGAAACUGUUUCAAUUAUUAUAGUUGUUCUGAUUUAUUUUUUCUGUCCAGUAUUUCCUGUACUGAUUUAUUAGAGUAUUUACUAUACCAGCAGCAUCCCUCCCAAUCCUUUUGAUUGGAUUCAUGAUCAUUUUAAUCCCAACUUAUGACCGUCUCCAACAUGAAUUACACACCUGCAACGAAUUGGUAUUGGCAUAAUUCUCUCGUCUGCAAUUAAGGAAUUGAAGCGGAAGAAUGUAGCACAAAGUAACAACAUGCUAGACGCAAUCCCUGUACUUGAACCCUUGCCUAUCAGCGUAUUUUGGCUAUCAAUUCAGUACUUCAUUUCAUAUAUAUAUUUGGGAUUGCAUCCAUGUUUACGUACGUGAGACUUCUCAAAUUCUUUUACUAGGAAGCACCAAAAGGACUGAAGUCCUUCUUUACUUGGCUUGUUUCCUCUAGACAUCUAUGUCACUUGGGUAUUUCUCAAGUAUCAUUUCGGUUGAAUGGGUGAAUUCAGCUACUAAGAACAUAACUAAAAGCAAAGGUUGGUUGGCUGGAAACCAUGUGAAUCUAUUCUAUUCGUUACUAUCCACACUUAGCUUGAUCAACCUCUUCAUUUACUUGUUUUGUACCUCAAGGUACACCGAGUUCCUUGACACUUGUUUGCUGCUAAGAGCGUAAAGCAGAGGUUGGCUCUAGGCUGAGAGGCCAAGGCGCUAAUCCUAUACAGUAUACACACAGCCUUGACUGUUCGAGUUUUUCACAUUUUCGAUGACAAAAUCCUUCUGAGGGAAGAGUUGGGACCAAGGAAAUACAGGAAUCAACAACCUCUAAAGUCUAAUCUGAACAAUUUUCAUCACUAGACCCUCUUUAGAUGUUAAUCCAACCAAAACACAUGAACGUGUAUCUUAUCUCCUGAACGUGUCUUAUAGAUAUCUCAUAUCUCAUCCAGCUUAAAUAAGAGAAUACAUACUAAUAUAAGAUGGGAUUCUCAUCUAGCUUAUGCUUACAGUAGUCAUGCCCCUGCCUUCAGUUCAAACUCAGCUACCUUAUCAUGACCAUUCCCAAAAUGUUAACCUGAUCUACAAUGUAAUUUGUCUUCUAUGAAUCCUCUGUUCACUAGUAAAAACAGUCAUACAGAAAUUACAAUAUUAUUAACAUUGCAAGUUUCCGAUGUAAGUUUUUUUUAUUGUUUUUCACAUACUGUACACAGAUUCAAAACACAACAAAGUGAAAGAACAUUGUGAAUUCUGACAUAUUUUCAUAAGAAAAAAAUUAGGUAAAUUGCAAUUACUCGUCAUAAAUAACAAAUACUCAAAUAUGCAAAGUGUAAAUUCUAAUUGUAACAGAUCUCCAUGGAUGACAAACUGCUCCAAACCUUAUGAAAUCGUGUGAAAAUUCUAAUUUUUCUACUAUAAUCCUUAACAAUUCCUCAGGAUUGCCCCCAUCAGAUCUGUUGUGACAGCAGGCAACUUCUGCGCUUAAUUUGAUUUCGGAUUUGGCAGCUUUGGGAUUCACAAGAACCAUGUUGGUCCCUAUAAACUGCAGAUAAAGUAGAUUGUUUGGAUGGCUAGAUGUGAAUGUAGUUCAUUUCAAUGCUUAAAUAUAUCAAACAUGUAGAAUAAACACAUUUGUAUGCCAUCGUUGUGUUGUGUACUUGUGUUCAUCAAGAUUUUCACUCUAUUGUUAGCAAGUAUAGUGCAGUGCCAACUAUUGAAGUUAUUUGUGAAUCAUAAUUUUUGAAUAAUCAUCUGAUCAUCUCUUGCUCGGUUUUUGCAGUUGGUUUAUGACACUGAACUAAUUUCAGCUUCAACAAUUAUAAAACAAACACGUCGAGUAAUAACAAGUUCUGCCUCCAAAAUUGAAAUUGGUCACAGAGAAUAAUAAAUACAUCAAAAAAAAUAAAAUAGAAAAUGAAUAUAAACCAUAAUAAGAAGCUUUUCAUUAAUAAUUGAGUACAUAUAAAUUUUACAAAAAUACGGAUGGAAUAACAAAAUCUCAUCAUCGUUUAAGAACUCUUACAAGCCUUCUCGGUUUCUCUUCUUUGAUAAAUCUGGCUUGAGUACUUGUUCUCUUUUCUGCUUGUUUACGUUCUUCAAUAAGCUUCUUAGUCUUUUUAGUCAAUUCUUUCAUAAUCUCUAUGCAAUCAGAUUGAAGAUGACUUGCCAAUAUAUUUUCAUUAUCAUCUACUUCCUCCUCAUUAUCGUUCUGAACAGUUUCUUCUUCUUCUUCUGCAACUACCUUAUUAUUAGUAGUAUUAAACUGGCAAAAUUCAUUUGGCAUGUGUUGUUGUUGUUGUUGUUGUUCUCCAUAUGAAUACAACUUCUCCAUGAUCUUCCCUCUUUGAUGUUUCAACUCCUCUGGAUGAUCACGUACAGCCAUCAAUACUGCAUAAUUAAUAACAGAAAACAGACCACCAUCGACACGGUCUGUUAUAUACUUAAGCCAGUAUUCAAGUCCAUCAUCUCGAAUCAUCUUGAUAAUCAAAUAUCACAAAACACAACAAAUAAAUAAAAAAGAUGAUGGGAUGUAAGAGAAAAGUUGUUUGUUCUGCUCUUGAGAAACUUUCAGAAACUUCAAAGUAUUAUGUGAGGAUGUUGAGACACAGAAGACUAUAUAUAUAUAUAGGCAAGGUUAUUUCCUUAAUAGGCAACCAAGUUGUAUAGCAAGAGAGUAAUUCAAGUUGGAAUCAUAUUAGGAAAGCGAAUCAUGCAUGUGUUAUUUUGGAAUUUCUAAAUUAAACUUGUUUAAGACUUCACUUCCAAGAUUUAUUUCAAUUAUGCGGAAGGACUACGGUUGUUUGCCGAACUUUAUUAUUUCUAAUUAAGGCGAGGGUAAAUAUUUGAAGGGUAUAAUAGAAAUUUGUCCAAGAGUUAUACUCUUUUGUCUCUAACUCUGAUUCUCCAACUUCUCAGCCUUUGCCUUCUUCCAACAGACCAACAAUUUAUUUUUCCGGCUCAUAUUAAACAUUGUGAUAUAUUAGUGUGUAUGUGUUUAAUUAGGUAAUUUUCAGAAAAUCGAUUUACCGCAACAAAAUUUUCAUCUGACCUUAUGUUACAAUAACAUUACAGAAAAAAUAUUGUGCCUGCAGCAUUAAAUCUUUUUACAACAAUACUAACUGUAGUACCAUACUGCAAAUCUAAACCAAUAAGCAUUGUGUAUAAUUUAUAUUUUGAAUUACAAUAAUGUGUGAAACAUACGAUACAAUCAUUACGGAGACCAAUGCUUAAGGUUUUAUCUUCCCGGAUAAUGGUGUAACUUUUACUUUAUCAAACAUGGUGAACUUGUACUUUCAGAACUGAAGUUCUUACUGAAAUCAAGAGAGAAACUUAUCAGAAACUAACCAUGUCAUAGUAUAUAUGCCUCAAGGACCAAAAAAAAUUCAAUCAAGAGCAAAAGAAAAAAACUAUUCACUACACUUCAAUUUUACUCACCUUUUACUUCUACUGGGACUGGAUGAGUAGGAACAGUGAGACAUUGUGUUUGGUAGGAUUUCAAAGUAGCAAUCAACCUUUGAAAAGAGAUUGGUUAACAUGCCUUAAUUUGGCUGCUAAACUAACACUCCAGACUAUAACUCCGCUCAGUGAAUUCUGCUAUCAACUUUCUCAGCCAGUACAAGAAUUUAAGAGAAAGCAAUUCAAAAGGGCCAGUAUGUUUUCUGUUCAAUUGAGCAUGAACCAAUCAGACUACCUACAUUCAGGUAGGCCUAUUAAAAGAUGUUUUCACAAAUGAUAGGGCAAUGUGUGGCAAAAAAACAGUAGAAUGUGACCACUUGCUUCAACUUGAUGGUUGGUUGCAAGGCAAAGCAUUUGAUCUUUGAAGAAGCUUGUCGCUUAAACCAACCAUAUUUAAAAGACAACAUAAUCAUUAACAACUACUAAAUCCACAUUUGAUAAGAUAUGAUAUUCAUCACUAAAUUAAUCCACUUAUCCACAUUUGAUAAGACUGCAGCCGCCUCGACAACCAUGACUUCUUCUGUAUAUAUAUCCAUUGCAACUCUUAACUAAGAUGGAUAUGCACAUAAUGAAUCAUUAAUGAUGAAUAUAUGGAACCAAAAAUGGCAAACGGUCAUAGCAGUCAACAAUAGUUUUGCUAGACUUAAAACUAGCUGACAAGGGAAUAAACCUGACAAGAAGUUAUUCAACAAUACACCUAGCUAAUUGUAAAGGAUGCACAUACAAAAAACACAAACAUUACAUGUAAGAAACAGAAAGAAUUUAAGCAUGUCAAGUAUAACUUGAAGUACUUCAAUUCGCACCUUAUAAUUGUCUGUUGCACAUCCAAACAGUGGUAGAAAGAUAGUAAGAUCCUCAAAACACCAUCAGUCAUUCGCAAUUCGGCCGUAGUCAUCUUUUGGAUAUUUUGACCUAAUCAUAUGUAAUAACAGCUAAAACCAUUAAAUUAAUCUGAAGAGAUUUCUACACAAGAUGUCAUAGUGAACUAAACAGUCCGACUAAAUUAUCGCGACAUAUAUACAGGGAUCUGAAAACUCGUAACAGUGACAAAGUUAUUCUUGCUCAAGUUCUAGAUUACAGAUAUAUGUAUGAGAGUAUCUUCUAGAAUCCAGACCGUGACAAUCUAAAGGACUACCUAUUGCAUAUAGAGGUGAAUGUAAACAAUACACAAGAUGGCCAUGCAGAUAAAAUUUUACUGAUAGAAAAGUAAGAAGCAUAUAACAAAAAAUUUGUCUGUAUUGAUUAAUAUUGUAAAGGGGAAGAGACAUCUUUUCUCUAAUCCCAAUUCUCUGUUACAAAAAAAGUAUUUACAUGAUUGACAACUCAUCGUUUCAAAAAAGAUGGUCGAGUUUGAAUUUUCCAUUCCCCAUGGGACCGUAUAGCUGCACUUAGCUCCUCCUCUAAAUUACAUGGUGAUCAAACGACCAGUUAGAUCAAUGAAGGCGUCUUCAUCGCAUGGAAUUGUGAGACCACCCAUUGGAUGACUGAAUCCAUACUCUUCCUCAGCUUGAUUUAACAAGUCUUGGAAUAAAGGAUGGUUCAAGUAUGAUAUUGGAAC